CACGGAGUUAGCCGGGGCUUAUUCUCCCGGUACUGUCAUUAUCAUCCCGGGUAAAAGAGCUUUACAACCCUAGGGCCUUCAUCACUCACGCGGCAUUGCUGGAUCAGGCUUUCGCCCAUUGUCCAAUAUUCCCCACUGCUGCCUCCCGUAGGAGUCUGGGCCGUGUCUCAGUCCCAGUGUGGCUGAUCAUCCUCUCAGACCAGCUAAGGAUCGUCGCCUUGGUGCGCCUUUACCACACCAACUAGCUAAUCCUACGCGGGCUCAUCCUCAGGCGAUAAAUCUUUGGUCUCGCGACAUCAUCCGGUAUUAGCACGCCUUUCGGCGAGUUAUUCCGAACCCAAGGGUAGAUUCCCACGCGUUACGCACCCGUGCGCCACUAGACCCGAAGGUCUCGUUCGACUUGCAUGUGUUAGGCAUGCCGCCAGCGUUUCGUUCUGAGCCAGGAUCAAACUCU
rnacentral:rRNA from 1 species